rnacentral:rRNA from 1 species
UGAGUUUGAUUAUGGCUCAGGAUGAACGCUAGCGGCAGGCCUAAUACAUGCAAGUCGAACGGUAACAUUUCUAGCUUGCUAGAAGAUGACGAGUGGCGAACGGGUGCGUAACGCGUAUGUAAUCUACCUCUAACAGAGGGAUAGCCCAGAGAAAUUUGGAUUAAUACCUCAUAAUAUUACAAAACGGCAUCGUUUUGCAAUUAAAACUCCGGUGGUUAAAGAUGAGCAUGCGUCCUAUUAGUUAGUUGGUAAGGUAACGGCUUACCAAGACAAUGAUAGGUAGGGGGCCUGAAAGGGUGAUCCCCCACACUGGUACUGAGACACGGACCAGACUCCUACGGGAGGCAGCAGUAAGGAAUAUUGCACAAUGGAGGAAACUCUGAUGCAGCCAUGCCGCGUGCAGGAAGACUGCCCUAUGGGUUGUAAACUGCUUUUCUACAAGAAGAAACCCCAGUACGUGUACUGGCUUGACGGUAUUGUAGGAAUAAGCACCGGCUAACUCCGUGCCAGCAGCCGCGGUAAUACGGAGGGUGCAAGCGUUAUCCGGAUUUAUUAGGUUUAAAGGGUCCGCAGGCGGAAUAUUAAGUCAGUGGUGAAAGCCUACAGCUCAACUGUAGAACUGCCAUUGAUACUGAUAUUCUUGAGUGUGGUUGAAGUGAGCGGAAUAUGUCAUGUAGCGGUGAAAUGC